rnacentral:rRNA from 1 species
UACGUAGGGUGCGAGCGUUGUCCGGAAUUAUUGGGCGUAAAGGGCUCGUAGGCGGCUUGUCGCGUCGGGAGUGAAAACACCGGGCUUAACUCGGUGCUUGCUUUCGAUACGGGCAGACUAGAGGUAUGCAGGGGAGAACGGAAUUCCUGGUGUAGCGGUGAAAUGCGCAGAUAUCAGGAGGAACACCGGUGGCGAAGGCGGUUCUCUGGGCAUUACCUGACGCUGAGGAGCGAAAGUGUGGGGAGCGAACAGG